rnacentral:rRNA from 1 species
AUGAGCGCGCCCCGCGUCGCUGUUGCUCCUGCUAUUGUCGCCUUGCUCGUGUGCGCCUUCGCCUUGCCAGGCCCGCCCCCUGUCGACCGAAGUCGUGCCCACACGCGCGGACUGCUGCCCCCGCUCGCAUCGUUGCCCCCUACCGCUGCGUCAACUACCUCGGCCAAGCGCGACUACAGACCCGCACCGGCCGCUGCGGCUGUUGCCGCCGUGGACUCCGCCCCGUUCGCAGCAGCGGCUGUGUCUCGCCAUUCCUCGGGCCGACCGCGCCCGCUCCGCCCAUCUCCGCCGCCUGCCGCUCGCUCGUCGGCGGUGACCCGCCCACCACCGGCCACCACACCCCGCGCCCACUGCCGGCCUCCACUCCCCAUGCGGCCUGCUGCCGCCCCCCUGCUAGCUGCUUUUGGCUGCUGCUGCCGCUCGAUACAGGCCGGGUGCCCCUGUUGUAUUACGUGCUAA